rnacentral:rRNA from 1 species
UACGGGGGGAGCAAGCGUUGUUCGGAUUUACUGGGCGUAAAGGGCGCGUAGGCGGCCACCGCAAGUCAAUUGUGAAAUCUCCGGGCUUAACUCGGAAAGGUCAACUGAUACUGCGGGGCUAGAGUGCGGAAGGGGCAACUGGAAUUCUCGGUGUAGCGGUGAAAUGCGUAGAUAUCGAGAGGAACACCGGUGGCGAAGGCGGCUUCCUGGACCGACACUGACGCUGAGGCGCGAAAGCGUGGGGAGCGAACAGG